AUAAAAGCGAUGAAGAGGAAUAGUACGGGUAUAUUUGAAUCCAGAAAGCUGCCGGGUGAUGCGAGGCAGCAGAGAAGAUAUCCGGAACUCGCCUCGGAGCGGCUGCCCCAAAUUCUGCAGCACAAUAGCAGGAACUGUUGCCCGUCGUAAAGCGGAGCAGUGUAAAACCGGACGAUAUUGUUAUGGAAGAAAUGCAGAAGAGUAGACGCAGACGGAUACCCGACCGUUAUCCGGGAACGAUAUAAGGUUCAGACAGAGGCAGAUAAGGUUUUGUCAGGAUCCGUAUCGGGUGAGUGUAUGAAGAGAUUCAUAAAACAGAGUGGUACCGCGCAGGACAAAAAUAUGUCUUUCGUCUCUGGU
rnacentral:ncRNA from 1 species